GCUGUUAUAAUUUUGUACUAUUUUAAGUUUUGUUGUUUCAUGAUUUCGUUGUUAAUAUUUUGUAAAUCCAAUAUUCUCUUGUAUUGUUAACGGCUUUGCUGAAAAGCAGCUUUCCUUUAAGCUGUUAUGAGGUUUUUUAACGGUGACUUAAUAAAUACAAUAAAAGUAGAUAACCGUGCAUGAACUAGUGAUGGCCUGGUGUUCAAUGAACAAGGCAUGGUGGAAGUGUCGCUAUCCAUAGCUGACGGAUUCAUAUCCCGUUGGUUCCAAGACAUGGCUUAUUUUUCAUAUCAAAUUUGCCAUCGUAUUCACUGCGUGCAAGUCAGAUAUUGCAUUUUCAACUUCCCCAGCAAACGUUCAUGGGGACAGACAAAUCAAGUUUGGACUAUACAUGUUAUAUAUUAGCCAAACAGAUUCUAAAUCCCCUAUUCAAUUGAAGACACAUCCGCCUACGUUUCCUAUGUGUACAAUUUGGUUACAUAAUGUAAUCCGGUUUCAGUUAGACUGGAUGUUCAACCUUGUGAGGUAAAGGAUUACUUCGUCUGCUAAUAUGUUUCUUAACAUGACAAGUGAUUGUGAUUCUUGUCCAAUUGU